rnacentral:rRNA from 1 species
AUUGAACGCUGGCGGCAGGCCUAACACAUGCAAGUCGAACGGCAGCACAGAAGAGCUUGCUCUUUGGGUGGCGAGUGGCGGACGGGUGAGUAAUGUCUGGGAAACUGCCCGAUGGAGGGGGAUAACUACUGGAAACGGUAGCUAAUACCGCAUAACGUCGCAAGACCAAAGUGGGGGACCUUCGGGCCUCACACCAUCGGAUGUGCCCAGAUGGGAUUAGCUAGUAGGUGGGGUAAUGGCUCACCUAGGCGACGAUCCCUAGCUGGUCUGAGAGGAUGACCAUCCACACUGGAACUGAGACACGGUCCAGACUCCUACGGGAGGCAGCAGUGGGGAAUAUUGCACAAAGGGCGCAAGCCUGAUGCAGCCAUGCCGCGUGUAUGAAGAAGGCCUUCGGGUUGUAAAGUACUUUCAGCGGGGAGGAAGGCGGUGAGGUUAAUAACCUCGCCGAUUGACGUUACCCGCAGAAGAAGCACCGGCUAACUCCGUGCCAGCCGCCGCAGUAAAAC